GACGAACGCUGGCGGUGUGCUUAACACAUGCAAGUCGAACGGAAAGGCCCUGUCUGCAGGGCACUCGUGUGGCAAACGGGUGUGUCACACGUGUGAGCUCCGCUCUGCACUGCGGGAUCAGUCGGAGACACUUGGUCUUAUUGCGGAUGGGCGUCCAAUUCAGCGUGUUGGUUGGAAAGAUUUUUUGGUGUGGGAUGGGAUUGCGGCCUAUUAGCUUGUUGGUUGGGGUAUGGCCUAACAAGGCGGCGACGGGUAGCCGGCCUGAGAGGGUGGACGGCCACAUUGGGACUGAGAUACGGCCCAGACUCCUACGGGAGGCAGCAGUGGGGAAUAUUGCACAAUGGGCGGAAGCCUGAUGCAGCGACGCCGCGUGGGGGAUGACGGCCUUCGGGUUGGAAACCGCUUUCACUAGUGACGAAGCUUUUUGUGACGGUAGCAGGAGAAGAAGCACCGGCUAACUACGUG
rnacentral:rRNA from 1 species